UACGUAGGGUGCGAGCGUUAAUCGGAAUUACUGGGCGUAAAGCGUGCGCAGGCGGUUCGUUAAGUUCGUUGUGAAAGCCCCGGGCCUAACCUGGGAACGGCAAUGGAAACUGGCGGGCUGGAGUAUGGCAGAGGGGGGUGGAAUUCCACGUGUAGCAGUGAAAUGCGUAGAGAUGUGGAGGAACACCGAUGGCGAAGGCAGCCCCCUGGGCCAAUACUGACGCUCAGGCACGAAAGCGUGGGGAGCAAAC
rnacentral:rRNA from 1 species